UCCACAUUAAGAGAAGAAGUCAAGCAACAAUAUGUUCAGGAGGCAGCAGCACUGAAGGCACAUCCUCAGCCGCAACUCCCACUACUAAAGAUCCCAUCAUUGUGCUUUUGAAAAAAGUGCAAGAUCUUUUCAACCAAAGAUAUAAGGAGGCCGGAGGUACUGGAAGGCUCCCCUACCAGUCCCUUGUGAAUAACAAGGCAACGAUCAAAGUUGCUGGGCUGCCCAUUGGACUUGACAUCAAGAAGCCCUCCUUUUACGGAAGACACCAAUUAGAGGCCAUUUUGGCAGCUGCUGAGCACAUUUCAUUUGAAAUAAAUACAGCACAAUGCAACCCCACUGACAUGGCAGAGGGAAUGUCCGAGCACAUGGACGCAGAAGACACAGCAGUUUGUAUCCAGAAGAAGUCAGUGGAACAGAUAUUUGAGGCCAUGUGUGGUAAUGGUGCACAGCAGAUGGAAGGAGAGUCCUCAGAAACAGCCACUAAUGUAGCCCCCGUGAUGACUGCAGAUGAAGAUAGAGGCAAUUUGUACUCUGUCUGCCGCAUCCAUUUUGAUGACAAGAAGAAGAACGCUACAAAGAAGUGGCGUUCAUGGUCUCAGUGCUCAGUGUGCCAAUCAUGUACCCACACUGCCUGUGGUUUUAAAAGAACCAUGUGCCUUCAUUGCCAGGGUCAACACACCAUGCAAACACCCUGAUUUCUAGUAUAUAUCUAGGUCCGUUGCCACUGAAAAUUCCACGGAUGUCCUUCGUUUUCGGAUGAUGUCCAUCUCCUUCCUCUUUUUUUGUGUUGGCGUUCUAACCUCCGGAGGAUUUCUGAGGACAAUGGUUAACUGCUCCUCAGAUCUCUGCAGGGUAAAUCCAGACGGCUAGCUAGACUAUCGUUCCAAUCUGAGUUUUCUGUUGUUUGAAUAAAACAACUUUUGAACGUACACAAGUUUUAGUUUUUCUUACUGUGUUGAUGGCCCCCACCGCAUCCCUACAGAACACACACACUACGUUUAAAAAGAACCCUGGAGGUUUGGUCGGAAAGUCCAGCUCUUGUGAAAGCUCAUCCGAACUCAGGUGCAGGCAUAGAUAUAGAACAUUGUUCUAUAUAUAUUGUUCUAUAUCUAUGCCUGCAGGUCUGUAUGGAUUGUAUAUAGGCCUAUGUAUACAGAUUUUAG